ACUCCUACGGGAGGCAGCAGUAGGGAAUCUUCCACAAUGGGCGCAAGCCUGAUGGAGCAACACCGCGUGAGUGAAGAAGGGUUUCGGUCUCGUAAAGCUCUGUUGUUAAAGAAGAACACGUAUGAGAGUAACUGUUCAUACGUUGACGGUAUUUAACCAGAAAGUCACGGCUAACUACGUGCCAGCAGCCGCGGUAAUACGUAGGUGGCAAGCGUUAUCCGGAUUUAUUGGGCGUAAAGAGAGUGCAGGCGGUUUUCUAAGUCUGAUGUGAAAGCCUUCGGCUUAACCGGAGAAGUGCAUCGGAAACUGGAUAACUUGAGUGCAGAAGAGGGUAGUGGAACUCCAUGUGUAGCGGUGGAAUGCGUAGAUAUAUGGAAGAACACCAGUGGCGAAGGCGGCUACCUGGUCUGCAACUGACGCUGAGACUCGAAAGCAUGGGUAGCGAACAGGAUUAGAUACCCUGGUAGGAUAGCG
rnacentral:rRNA from 1 species